UACGUAGGGAGCAAGCGUUGUCCGGAAUCAUUGGGCGUAAAGCGCGCGUAGGCGGCCCGGUAAGUCCGCUCUGAAAGUCCAGGGCUCAACCCUGGAAUGCGGGUGGAUACUGCCGGGCUAGAGUCCGGAAGAGGCGAGUGGAAUUCCUGGUGUAGCGGUGAAAUGCGCAGAUAUCAGGAAGAACACCAAUGGCGAAAGCAGCUCUCUGGGACGGUACUGACGCUGAGACGCGAAAGCGUGGGGAGCGAACAGG
rnacentral:rRNA from 1 species